UACUCGAGUGGCGAACGGGUGAGUAACACGUGGGUGAUCUGCCCUGCACUUUGGGAUAAGCUUGGGAAACUGGGUCUAAUACCGAAUAUGACCACUUCUUGGAUGUUGUGGUGGAAAGCUUUUGCGGUGUGGGAUGAGCCUGCGGCCUAUCAGCUUGUUGGUGGGGUAAUGGCCUACCAAGGCGGCGACGGGUAUCCGGCCUGAGAGGGUGUACGGACACAUUGGGACUGAGAUACGGCCCAGACUCCUACGGGAGGCAGCAGUGGGGAAUAUUGCACAAUGGGCGCAAGCCUGAUGCAGCGACGCCGCGUGGGGGAUGAAGGCCUUCGGGUUGUAAACUCCUUUCGCUAUCGACGAAGCCUUCGGGUGACGGUAGGUAGAUAAGAAGCACCGGCUAACUACGUGCCAGCAGCCGCGGUAAUACGUAGGGUGCAAGCGUUGUCCGGAAUUACUGGGCGUAAAGAGCUCGUAGGUGGUUUGUCGCGUCGUCUGUGAAAUCCCGGGGCUUAACUUCGGGCGUGCAGGCGAUACGGGCAUAACUUGAGUGCUGUAGGGGAGACUGGAAUUCCUGGUGUAGCGGUGAAAUGCGCAGAUAUCAGGAGGAACACCGAUGGCGAAGGCAGGUCUCUGGGCAGUAACUGACGCUGAGGAGCGAAAGCAUGGGUAGCGAACAGGAUUAGAUACCCUGGUAGUCCAUGCCGUAAACGGUGGGCGCUAGGUGUAGGGGGCUUCCACGUCUUCUGUGCCGUAGCUAACGCAUUAAGCGCCCCGCCUGGGGAGUACGGCCGCAAGGCUAAAACUCAAAGGAAUUGACGGGGGCCCGCACAAGCGGCGGAGCAUGUGGAUUAAUUCGAUGCAACGCGAAGAACCUUACCUGGGCUUGACAUGUACCGGAUUGGGCUAGAGAUAGUCUUUCCUUGUGGUCGGUAUACAGGUGGUGCAUGGUGUCGUCAGCUCGUGUCGUGAGAUGUUGGUUAAGUCCC
rnacentral:rRNA from 1 species